UUGAUUCCUAACUUCAAAAAACAAAAGAAUAGGGAAAAAAAAGAAAGAAAGAAAGAAAAGAGUUCAAUUAUGUGUGCUCUGGUGUUAUUGGACUAUAGAGCUUAAAAAAAGAGAAAGAACGAGAAAAAGAGAAUGUGCAGACAUUGAUCAGUUAAUACAAUCUGUCCUUUUAGCAAAUGUAAAAUAAUUAGCUGUAUUGGUCAUGGCUCAUUUAGUUACAAGUGACAGAAACCCACCUCAACAUGGAUAAAACAAACAAACAACAACAACAACAAAAAGUCAUAGAUUCACAGGAAUAAAAACUUCAUGGAUAAAGGAACAGAAGCUCAAAGAAUUGUCAUUUGCAUCAGAAUCCUAAAAGCAAGCAAAAGACAGAGAGACUACAAGAAAAUAGAAGCUGCAAAGAAAAACAAAUUCACAAUGUAGCCUCAAAAAACAAAGCAUCCAUCCAAGGAGAAGACCAUGUCACCAUGGAGUGAUGAUCUGCUCCAGCAGCCAGCAUAUGACCAACGAACUCAUCCGAGUCAAGAACCUUAGGUUUUUCUCUACCACUUUUAGAAAAUAUGCAUUCUCUUUCCACUGAGGAUGCUGAGCUGUUAAUACAUAACCUGGAGCUAUUGGUGUACUGACACAGGAGAGUCUCUGAUCUCUAUGUUAGGGAUUUGGAAUGAUUUAACAAAAUGGUAAAUACUGUUUUAUGUAGUACUAAAGCCAAAAUACUCCAGCAAAACUAUUUCUGCACUGUCGUGAGCCAGAGUGUCAGAUAUGUUAAUGUUUAUUUCACAAUUUUGUCUUCAUGAUUAAAUGCCUCUACCACUAUUCCAAUCAGAGCUUCCCAUUCACUUUGCAGAGCUACUGAUUGUCUUACUCUCUCUGGAUGAACUGGCAGGGCAAGAAGCAGCCAAACCCCUAAGCAAGUCAUUGCCAAUCAUGAAAAGCCAUGGGCAGCAGCAGUGGGAAUUAUUAUACACUUGUGUUUCCUUCAAGUCAUGUGUCCCCCCCCAAGACUUAGUUUCCUCAUCUGGAAAAUGGAAUAGUAAUAUCUACUAGAGAGAUUCAUAGUGAA